AAAAGUCGUAACAAGGUUUCCGCAGGUGAACCUGCGGAAGGAUCAUUAUCAUACAAUGGAGGUGCAAGGGCUGUCGCUGACCUUUCAAAGGCCUNNGACGCCUAAGUACUUUCAUAUACAUCCAUCUCACCCAUUUGUGCAUCACCGCGUGGGCUCUCUUUGCAAGAGAGCUUGCGUUUUCACAUAAAACUUAAUAUAGUGCAGAAUGUUUUUUUUAUUUGCAGUCAUAUGCAAUCAGUACAACUUUCAACAACGGAUCUCUUGGCUCUCGCAUCGAUGAAGAACGCAGCGAAAUGCGAUACGUAAUGUGAAUUGCAGAAUUCAGUGAAUCAUCGAAUCUUUGAACGCACCUUGCGCCCCUUGGCAUUCCGAGGGGCACACCCGUUUGAGUGUCGUGAAAUCCUCAAAACCCUUUUCUUUGAUGGAAAAGGAUUUUGGACUUGGAGGUUUGAUGCUUGCUUUCACUUUUGAAAGUGAGCUCCUCUUAAAUAAAUUAGUGGGAUCCGCUUUGCUGAUCCUUAAUGUGAUAAGAUGUUUCUACAUUUUGGAUUUAGCACUGUCCCUUGGAUGCCUGCUUCUAACUAGUCUUAUGGACAAAUGAUGGUGCUCUGGUCACUGCCAAUCUACAUUGGUGGGAGGCUGGGCCCACAGAAAAAAUCUUGACCUCAAAUCGGGUGAGACUACCCGCUGAACUUAAGCAUA
rnacentral:rRNA from 1 species